rnacentral:rRNA from 1 species
AGUGAACGCUGGCGGUAGGCCUAACACAUGCAAGUCGAACGAGUGGCGGACGGGUGAGGCAUACAUCGGAAUCUACUCUGUCGUGGGGGAUAACGUAGGGACACUUACGCUAAUACCGCAUACGAUUGAAUGUGCCGAUGUCGGCUUAGCGAGUUGGCGGGGUAAAGGCCCACCAAGGAGACGAUCCGUAGCUGGUCUAAGAGGAUGAUCAGCCACACCGGACCUGAGACACUGACCAGACUCCUACGGGAGGCAGCAGUGGGGAAUAUUGGACAAUGGGCGCAAGCCUGAUCCAGCCAUACCGCGUGUGGGAAGAAGUCCUUCGGGUGGUAAAGCACUUUUGUUGGGAAAGCGGGAGCCAAAGAAUAAGCACCGGCUAACUUCGUGCCAGCAGCCGCGGUAAUUC